UAUCUGCGUUGAUCCUGGCAGUAGUCAUAUGCUUGUCUCAAAGAUUAAAGCCAUGACAUGUCUAAGUACAAACCUUAAUACGGUGAAACGCGACAAAUGGCUCAUUAAAUCAGCUAUGGUUCCUUAGAUCGUCUCAAUCCUAUCUCGAUAACUGUGGAAAAUUCUAGAGCUAAUACGUGCUUACAAGCCCUGACCCUCACGGGAGGGGCGCAUUUAUUAGAUCAAAACCAAUCGGGCUUGCCCCGUCUGCUUUGGUGACUCUGGACUAACUUUGUGCUGAUCGCAUGCCUCUGCGCUGGCGACGUAUCUUUCAAGUGUCUGCCCUAUCAACUUACGAUAGUAGGCUGAUAUGCCUACAUGGUUAUAACGGGUUAACGGGCGAAUCAGGGUUCGCGAUUCGGAGAGGAGCCUGAGAAACGGCUACCACAUCUAAGGAAGCAGCAGUCUAAUCGGCGCGGCCAAAUAUACCCACUCCCGGCACGGGGAGUAGUGAACGAAAAAUAACGAUACGGACUCUUUGAGGCCCCGUAAUUGGAAUGAGUUUACACUUUAAAUCGUUAACAAGUAUCUUAUUGGAGGGCAAGUUGGUGCCAGCAGCCGGGGUUAAUUCCAGCUCCAAGUAGCUGUAAUUAAUGUUCCUGUCAGUUAAAAGCUCGUAGUUGGAUCUAGGACUCGAAAUUGUGGUGCCCAUACGGUGUUACUGCCGAUUCGGCCUACCUAGUCGGUGCUCGCUCUUGGUUUCUUAAUUGAAUGCCUGAGUGCCGCAGAGUUUACUUGAAAAAUUAGAGUGCCUCAAAGCAGGCCAUUUGAGGCCGAAUUACUUCAGCAUGGAAUAAUGGAAUAGGACUUCGCGUUCUAUUUUGUUGGUUUUCGGAAACCCCGAUGCGUAAUGAUUAAGAGAGACAGACGGUGGGCCAUUCGUUACUGCGGUGUUAGCUAGUGAAAAUCUUGGCCAUACGCCGCAAGACAGAACAACUGCGAA
rnacentral:ncRNA from 1 species